rnacentral:misc_RNA from 1 species
ACACUUCAUGUACAUGUAGCUGCUUACAGAUCUAGUCGGAUAAGCUGUAUUCGAGGGUUUAGGACUGAAUUCAUUCCACAGAAGACAUAAUAGUACAUAGAAGACAAAUAACCUUGCUCAAGAUGAAAAUGAUCGUCAUAUUUGCUGUCCUGACCUCCUUGCCCUUUGCCUUUCCCAAAGAUAUUUGGUCGUGCUUUGACGCUAUUAUACCAUCUCGUGGAAUAAUCAAAGAGGUGUCACCCGAUUCGCCGGUGAUCGUCAAGUUCACUGGCAGGGAGAAUAAAGCAUGCCACAUGUUUUCCGCGAUUUGCAAAGAUGCACUUCCAGAAAACUGUGAGGUCUGCGCCACCGUAGUAGGUAUUAAAGAAAAAGAUUGCUCGGUUCAACUUGAGUUCCUACAACUCUUGGGUGUUUCGCUUCCGAAGACAGUUCGUACCGAGACAUGCUUGGAGAGGGAUAUUGAGCCAUACUGCUCAACAUUCUCUCUUGGAAUGAUAAUAACGAAAACAGACAAUUCCCUGACUAGCGCUAGUUUUGAGAUCCUUCUUACAGCGAAAAUUCCCGCCGAAACAAGAAACACAGGGCUUGGAACCAAAGGCAGAGUCCAGCUGGGAGCACAGCCCCGUUGACACAUUUGAGCAGCCCAAGCUACCAAAUGGACGAGAGCUAUACCAUCCAGACCUCGAAAGGAAACAAUAACACAAAAGCGCCAAAUUGACGAUCCUCCAGGAAUCCAAACCCUAGCAAGGACUUGAAAUGACUGUCACUACAUGUACCACAAUGAAUUUGUAUCAUAUAUAUUUAUAAAGCUUGAAAUGGAUUCUUGCAUGUUCAGGAAUAUGCUCUAUGCAUUCUAUGUAUCCUCUGCUUCACUGCCAACAAUAUUUUUACAGCAAUGAAAAAAGUAAUAGAACACAUUGCAACAAGAACAAAUGAAUAUCUCUUGUAAAUAUAUACGUAGGUUUAAUGUUUUGGUCAUUGUCAAUACAUUUGGUCUGUAUACUUUAAAAAUUGAUGCAUGGAGUUUGAUCUCAGACAUUCACUCGUCAAUAGUCUUGCAAAUAUCAUGUAUUAUUAUAUUACUUGUACAUACAUAUUGUUCAAGUUUACUUUGUUCAAAACACAUUUUCUUUGUUUAAUAUCACGACUCUAUUUAUUGCAUAAAAUUCGAUAUGCC